AAAUUGAAGAGUUUGAUCAUGGCUCAGAUUGAACGCUGGCGGCAGGCCUAACACAUGCAAGUCGAGCGGUAACAGGAAGAGCUUGCUCUCGGGUGACGAGCGGCGGACGGGUGAGUAAUGUCUGGGAAACUGCCUGAUGGAGGGGGAUAACUACUGGAAACGGUAGCUAAUACCGCAUAAUGUCGCAAGACCAAAGUGGGGGACCUUCGGGCCUCAUGCCAUCAGAUGUGCCCAGAUGGGAUUAGCUAGUAGGUGGGGUAACGGCUCACCUAGGCGACGAUCCCUAGCUGGUCUGAGAGGAUGACCAGCCACACUGGAACUGAGACACGGUCCAGACUCCUACGGGAGGCAGCAGUGGGGAAUAUUGCACAAUGGGCGCAAGCCUGAUGCAGCCAUGCCGCGUGUGUGAAGAAGGCCUUCGGGUUGUAAAGCACUUUCAGCGGGGAGGAAGGCGGUGAGGUUAAUAACUUUGCUCACUGACGUUACCCGCAGAAGAAGCACCGGCUAACUCCGUGCCAGCAGCCGCGGUAAUACGGAGGGUGCAAGCGUUAAUCGGAAUUACUGGGCGUAAAGCGCACGCAGGCGGUCUGUCAAGUCGGAUGUGAAAUCCCCGGGCUCAACCUGGGAACUGCAUUCGAAACUGGCAGGCUAGAGUCUUGUAGAGGGGGGUAGAAUUCCAGGUGUAGCGGUGAAAUGCGUAGAGAUCUGGAGGAAUACCGGUGGCGAAGGCGGCCCCCUGGACAAAGACUGACGCUCAGGUGCGAAAGCGUGGGGAGCAAACAGGAUUAGAUACCCUGGUAGUCCACGCCGUAAACGAUGUCGAUUUGGAGGUUGUGCCCUUGAGGCGUGGCUUCCGGAGCUAACGCGUUAAAUCGACCGCCUGGGGAGUACGGCCGCAAGGUUAAAACUCAAAUGAAUUGACGGGGGCCCGCACAAGCGGUGGAGCAUGUGGUUUAAUUCGAUGCAACGCGAAGAACCUUACCUGGUCUUGACAUCCACAGAACUUUCCAGAGAUGAGAUUGUGCCUUCGGGAACUGUGAGACAGGUGCUGCAUGGCUGUCGUCAGCUCGUGUUGUGAAAUGUUGGGUUAAGUCCCGCAACGAGCGCAACCCUUAUCCUUUGUUGCCAGCGUUCGGCCGGGAACUCAAAGGAGACUGCCAGUGAUAAACUGGAGGAAGGUGGGGAUGACGUCAAGUCAUCAUGGCCCUUACGACCAGGGCUACACACGUGCUACAAUGGCAUAUACAAAGAGAAGCGACCUCGCGAGAGCAAGCGGACCUCAUAAAGUAUGUCGUAGUCCGGAUUGGAGUCUGCAACUCGACUCCAUGAAGUCGGAAUCGCUAGUAAUCGUAGAUCAGAAUGCUACGGUGAAUACGUUCCCGGGCCUUGUACACACCGCCCGUCACACCAUGGGAGUGGGUUGCAAAAGAAGUAGGUAGCUUAACCUUCGGGAGGGCGCUUACCACUUUGUGAUUCAUGACUGGGGUGAAGUCGUAACAAGGUAACCGUAGGGGAACCUGCGGUUGGAUCACCUCCUUACCUUAAAGAA
rnacentral:rRNA from 1 species